ensembl:lncRNA
GUCGUAACCUUGCACAAAGAGGAAAAGGAAGAAUUUGGGCAUGUAGGCGGGGCAAGGGGUGGUUUUUCCAUCCAACUUCUACCCUAUAAAGUUAACUAGAGGAUUCCUUGCUGCCUUCCUUCCUGUGUUCCUCCUCUUCGGAUUUUUUGUUUCCUUCUGUUGACUACCACACCCUGUCCUUGUUUAUCACUCUGCCCCCUCUCUCUUUCCCGCCGUUCUUCCAUUCCCACUUCUUCCUGUGCCCCUCAGCCCACGGCACCACCAUGCCUGCUAGAGGAUCAGUUAAAUAGCACCCCUCCCUGGACAGCCAGGUUAAUUGAUGCAGUCCCCUUUGGGCCACAACCAUUGGGAGGAGCAGGACUGUUGGUAGAGACUUGGGAAAGGAAAUCCCCUUCCAGUUUGGUUCCAAACAAAGAAAGUUGGUCCUCCCAGGACCUUCAGUCAACCUGCCCAAGCCAGAGUGGAGAUGAGAGGUGGGGAGAGGUGUGGAAGAGGGGAGAGAACAGAAUAAGAAAGAGCCGUGAAAGGGGUGCUGAGGGACCUGUGAAAGCAUCUAUCUCUGGAAGGCCUGAAGAGGCUGCUUUGGGCAAAGUCGAGGUCUCCACCUGGCCAACUGCCUCUUCCCUUCGUUCCCAAAGGUGAGAGGAUCCCAAUGAGGCUGAGGGUCCGUAGGGAGCAAGGAUUAACCCUUUUCUCAGCCAGGUCUUGGCUGAUGGAGGGAGAGGUGCCGGCGGGCUUCGGACGUCCCCAGCGCUACCCUCCACCGCCACCCUCCACCGCCACUGCAAGGAAGGGGGGUGCGGAGGAAGGAGGCAGGCGGUGGCCAGGGGCAGCCGAAAGGGGACGGAAUACAGGGCGGGCGGAGUUCAACUUCAGAUGCUGGGCAGACCAGGGGACGCGAAAUAACCACCGCCAAUGCACGAGGAAAGGCAGGGGCCAGCGCGGGCGCGGGCGCGCGGCUCCUUGGCGCUGCGGAGUAGUUGGAGAGGGGCGGGAGAGCCCCGGCGGGCUGAGUUUUCCUGGAGUUGCGAGCAAGCACCAAAUCUCUCUCGGAUCGGUCCGCGGCGCGACCGCCCUCUCUGCCUCCUCUCUCAGCAGCUGUGCGGAUGUGAGGAGCAGGCGGAGAACGCGCCAGAGCCGGGAGCGGAAAAAAAACCAAGUGAGUGCACGAGAGAUACAAAUGGAUCGUUUGGUGGAGAAAUCCGUCUUCGUCACCGCCGCCAGGCUGGGAUUAAUGCGAUUGAAGGCUCCUCCAGGCUCCGCCGGGGAGACGGGCUCGGGAAAGCAAGAGAAAUUGGUUUGUACCCCUGGGAGCAGGAUUGAUGGACCGGGCCGCCAGGCUGGGCUGGGCCAUAGCGUUCUCA